rnacentral:misc_RNA from 1 species
GGGACCACAAUCAUAGUCAUUUUUCUGUUGGGGUACCUCAAUUUUUUUCUCAUCAAUUCUGCAGGGGAGAUGUUUCCAUAUUUUGUCUGCAAUUGGAAGAUCUGAAGGAGAAACUUCUUGAUUCAUGUAAUUCCAUUCUUCUCUCAAAUAGCUUCUAAUGUCUUCAAAAACUGAUUUGCUAGAGUGAAGUCCCAAAGAAUCCAAAUG